UGAAUACGAGAUGCUACGGCGUCGAAGCAGUCUAUGUCAUACUUCCAAGAAAAGCUUGCACUGUCAUAAACAAAUAAUGCCUGUACCAUAACCGACACAGGUGGGUAGGUAGAGUAUACUAAGGGGCGCGAGAUAACUCUCUCUAAGGAACUCGGCAAAAUGACUCCGUAACUUCGGGAGAAGGAGUGCCUUAUUUAUAAGGUUGCAAUAACAAGAUCCAAGCAACUGUUUACCAAAAACACAGGUCUCCGCUAAGUCGUAAGACGAUGUAUGGGGGCUGACGCCUGCCCAGUGCCAGAAGGUUAAAGAAGUUGGUUAGCAUCCGCGAAGCUGAUAACUGAAGCCCUGGUGAACGGCGGCCGUAACAAUAACGGUCCUAAGGUAGCGAAAUUCCUUGUCGGGUAAGUUCCGACCCGCACGAAAGGCGUAAUGAUUUGGAUACUGUCUCGGAGAGGGGCUCGGUGAAAUAGACUUGUCUGUGAAGAUGCGGACUACCUGCACCAGGACAGAAAGACCCUAUGAAGCUUUACUGUAACCUGAAAUUGAAAUUGGACUUUACUUGCGCAGUAUAGGUGGGAGGCGUUGAGAAUAUUCUUGCGGGAUUAUUGGAGCCAUCAGUGAGAUACCACUCUUGUAAUGUUAGAUUUCUAACUUUGUAUCAUUAUCUGGUCAAAGAACAGUUUCAGGCGGGCAGUUUGACUGGGGCGGUCGCCUCCUAAACGGUAACGGAGGCGCACAAAGGUUUCCUCUGAACGGGUAGAAAUCGUAUCUAGAGUGUAAAGGCAUAAGGAAGCUUGACUGUGAGACCUACAAGUCGAGCAGGGACGAAAGUCGGUCUUAGUGUUCUGACGGUGCUGAGUGGAAAGGCCGUCACUCAACGGAUAAAAGUUACUCUAGGAUAACAGGCUGAUCUCCCCCAAGAGUUCACAUCGACGGGGAGGUUGGCACCUCGAUGUCGGCUCAUCGCAUCCUGGGGCGGUAGUACGUCCCAAGGGUUGGGCUGUUCGCCCAUGAAAGCGGUACGCGAGCUGGGUUCAGAACGUCGUGAGACAGUUCGGUCCAUAUCCGGUGUAGGCGUUAGAAUAUUGAGAGGAGCCUUCUUUAGUACGAGAGGACCGAGAAGGACAUACCUCUGGUGUACCAGUUAUCGUGCCAACGGUAAACGCUGGGUAGCUAUGUGUGGAGUGGAUAACCGCUGAAAGCAUCUAAGUGGGAAGCCCACCUCAAGAUAAGUAUUCUC
rnacentral:rRNA from 1 species